UACGUAGGGGGCGAGCGUUGUCCGGAAUUAUUGGGCGUAAAGCGUCCGCAGGUGGCUGUUCAAGUCUGCUGUCAAAGCGCAGAGCUUAACUCUGUACAGGCGGUGGAAACUGAAGAGCUAGAGUAUGGUAGGGGUAGAGGGAAUUCCCGGUGUAGCGGUGAAAUGCGUAGAUAUCGGGAAGAACACCAGUGGCGAAAGCGCUCUACUGGGCCAUAACUGACACUGAGGGACGAAAGCUAAGGGAGCGAAAGGG
rnacentral:rRNA from 1 species